CUUGCUAGAUUGAUGGCGAGUGGCGAACGGGUGAGUAAUACAUCGGAACGUGCCCUGUAGUGGGGGAUAACUAGUCGAAAGAUUAGCUAAUGCCGCAUACGACCUGAGGGUGAAAGUGGGGGACCGCAAGGCCUCAUGCUAUAGGAGCGGCCGAUGUCUGAUUAGCUAGUUGGUGAGGUAAAGGCUCACCAAGGCGACGAUCAGUAGCUGGUCUGAGAGGACGAUCAGCCACACAGGGACUGAGACACGGCCCAGACUCCUACGGGAGGCAGCAGUGGGGAAUUUUGGACAAUGGGCGAAAGCCUGAUCCAGCAAUGCCGCGUGUGUGAAGAAGGCCUUCGGGUUGUAAAGCACUUUUGUCCGGAAAGAAAUGGCUCUGGUUAAUACCUGGGGUCGAUGACGGUACCGGAAGAAUAAGGACCGGCUAACUACGUGCCAGCAGCCGCGGUAAUACG
rnacentral:rRNA from 1 species